rnacentral:rRNA from 1 species
GACGAACGCUGGCGGCGUGCUUAACACAUGCAAGUCGAACGGAAAGGCCCUGCUUGCAGGGUACUCGAGUGGCGAACGGGUGAGUAACACGUGGGUGAUCUGCCCUGCAUUUCGGGAUAAGCCUGGGAAACUGGGUCUAAUACCGGAUAGGAGCAAUCUUUAGAGAGAUGGUUGGAAAGUUUUUUCGGUGUAGGAUGAGCUCGCGGCCUAUCCGCUUGUUGGUGGGGUAAUGGCCUACCAAGGCGGCGACGGGUAGCCGGCCUGAGAGGGUGGACGGCCACAUUGGGACUGAGGUACGGCGCAGACUCCUACGGGAGGCAGCAGUGGAGAGUAUUGCACAAUAAGCGCGAGCCUGAUGCAACGACGCCGCGUGGGGGAUAACGGCCUUCUGGUUAUAAACUCCUUUCGCUAGGGACGAAGCUUUUUGUGACGUUACCUAGAUAGGAAGCACCGGCUAACUACGUG